GUGAGGAAUUUUCCGCAAUGGGCGAAAGCCUGUCGGAGCAAUGCCGCGUGAAGGAUGAAGGCCUAUGGGUUGUAAACUUCUUUUCUUAGAGAAGAAUAUUGACGGUAUCUGAGGAAUAAGCAUCAGCUAACUCUGUGCCAGCAGCCGCGGUAAGACAGAGGAUGCAAGGGUUAUCCGGAAUGAUUGGGCGUAAAGCGUCUGUAGGUGGCUUCAAAAGUCUCCUGUCAAAGAUCAGGGCUUAACCCUGGGCCGGCAGGAGAAGCUCUGAGGCUAGAGUGUGGUAGGGGCAGAAGGAAUUCCCGGUGGAGCGGUGAAAUGCGUAGAGAUCGGGAGGAACACCAAAGGCGAAAGCACUCUGCUGGGCCACAACUGACACUGAGAGACGAAAGCGAGGGGAGCAAAAGGGAUUAGAAACCCGUGUAGUCC
rnacentral:rRNA from 1 species